UAAGAGGUCCAGCCUGCCCAGUGACAAAUGUUCAACGGCCGCGGUAUCCUAACCGUGCGAAGGUAGCGUAAUCACUUGUUCUUUAAAUGAGGACUAGUAUGAAUGGCACCACGAGGGUUGCACUGUCUCCUUUCCCUAAUCAAUGAAACUAAUCUCCCCGUGAAGAAGCGGGGGUACUAAUAUAAGACGAGAAGACCCUAUGGAGCUUUAAAUUUCUCUUCAAACGCCAGACACAAACAUCUGACACUUUACAUUAACCCGACGCCUUGAAGAUGAAUUUUAGGUUGGGGUGACCAUGGAGAACAAAAUAACCUCCACGCUGAAAAGGCCUCCAAGCCUUGAGCCGAGGGCUACAACCCAACGCACUAAAAAAUUAACACCCAUUGACCCAAUAUUUUUGAUCAACGAACCAAGUUACCCUAGGGAUAACAGCGCAAUCUACUUCAAGAGUCCCUAUCGACAAGUGGGUUUACGACCUCGAUGUUGGAUCAGGGUAUCCCAGUGGUGCAGCCGCUACUAAAGGUUCGUUUGUUCAACGAUUAAAACCCU
rnacentral:rRNA from 1 species